rnacentral:rRNA from 1 species
GGUUCGGAUCAUGGCUCAGGUUGAACGCUGGCGGGAUGCUUACACAUGCAAGUCGGAAUGCGGGCAGCAUGGACUUCGGUCUGGUGGUUAUGCGAACGGGUGAGUAAUGUAUCGGAACGUGCCUAGUAGCGGGGGUAUAACUACGCGAAAGCGUAGCUAAUACCGUACACACCUUCGGGGGAAAGCGGGGGACCUUCGCCUCGCACCAUUAGAGCGGCCGAUAUCGGAUUAGCUAGUUGGUGGGGUAACGGCUCGACUAAGGCGAAUGAUCCGUAGCUGGUUUGAGAGGACGACCAGCCACACUGGGACUGAGACACGGCCCAGUGACUCCUACGGGAGGCAGCAGGAAUUUCGACAAUGGGGAAACCCUGAUCCAGCCAUCCCGGCGUGCGAUGAAGGCCUUCGGGUUGUAAAGCACUUUGGCAGGAAGAAACGGCAUCGGGAUAAUACCCCGUGCAACUGACGGUACCUGCAGAGCCAGCACCGGCUAACUACGUGCCACAGCAGCCGGCGGUAAUAAUGUAGGUGCAAGCGUUAAUCGGAAUUACUGGCGUAAAGCGUGCGCAGGCGGUUCGAAAGAGAUGCAAGUCCCAGAGCUUAACUUUGGAACUGCAUUUUUAAUUACCGAGCUAGAGGUCAGGAGGGAGGUGGAAUUCGGCGUGUAGCAGUGAAAUGCGGUAGAUAUGCGGAGGAACACUGAUGGCGAAGGCAGCCUCCUGGGAUAACACUGACGCUCAUGCACGCGCUGGGGGAGCAAACAGGAUUAGAUACUCCUGGUAGUCCACGCCCUAAACGAUGUCAGUUCAUUGUUGGGGCUUCGGGCCUUGGUAGCGCAGCUAACGCGUGAAGUUGACCGCCUGGGGAGUACGGUCGCAAGAUUAAAACUCAAAGGAAUUGACGGGGACCUGCAAGCGGUGGAUGAUGGAUUAAUUCGAUGCAACGCGAAAAACCUUACCUACCCUUGACAUGUCCGGGAAUCCCGAAGAGAUUUGGAGUGCUCGCAAGAGAACCGGAACACAGGUGCUGCAUGGCUGUCGUCAGCUCGUGUCGAGAUGCGCUGGGUUAAGUCCUGUAACGAGCGCAACCCUUGUCAUUAGUUGCUACGAAAGGGCACCGAUGAGAUCGCCGCGACAAACCGGAGGAAGGUGGGGAUGACGCUAAGUCCUCAUGGCCCUAUGGGCAGGAACUACGCGCCAUACAAUGGUCGGGACAGAGGGUCGCCAACCCGCAGGGGAGCCAAUCCCAGAAACCCGAUCGUAGUCCGGAUCGCAGUCUGCACCGACUGCGCGUGAAGUCGUGAAUCGCUGUAAUCGCGAUCAGCAUGUCGCGGCAAUAUUGCUCCGGUCUUGUACAUACGCCCGUCGAACUGUAUGGAGUGGUUUUAUCGGCGGUAUAGCCUCAACUCGUAAGGAGUGGCGAUUACCACGGUGGAUUCAUGACUGGGGUGGUCGGCAUAUAGCUCGAAAGAGCGAACGAUGCUCCCAGG